rnacentral:rRNA from 1 species
UUCGGUUCAUUGGAAAAGAGGAGUGGCGAACGGGUGAGUAACACGUGGGUAACCUGCCCAUCAGAGGGGGAUAACACUUGGAAACAGGUGCUAAUACCGCAUAAUGCUUUUUCUCGCAUGAGAGAAAGCUGAAAGGCGCUUUUGCGUCACUGAUGGAUGGACCCGCGGUGCAUUAGCUAGUUGGUGAGGUAACGGCUCACCAAGGCAACGAUGCAUAGCCGACCUGAGAGGGUGAUCGGCCACACUGGGACUGAGACACGGCCCAGACUCCUACGGGAGGCAGCAGUAGGGAAUCUUCGGCAAUGGACGAAAGUCUGACCGAGCAACGCCGCGUGAGUGAAGAAGGUUUUCGGAUCGUAAAACUCUGUUGUUAGAGAAGAACAAGGAUGAGAAGAGAAUGUUCAUCCCUUGACGGUAUCUAACCAGAAAGCCACGGCUAACUACGUGCCAGCAGCCGCGGUAAUACGUAGGUGGCAAGCGUUGUCCGGAUUUAUUGGGCGUAAAGCGAGCGCAGGCGGUUUCUUAAGUCUGAUGUGAAAGCCCCCGGCUCAACCGGGGAGGGUCAUUGGAAACUGGGAGACUUGAGUGCAGAAGAGGAGAGUGGAAUUCCAUGUGUAGCGGUGAAAUGCGUAGAUAUAUGGAGGAACACCAGUGGCGAAGGCGGCUCUCUGGUCUGUAACUGACGCUGAGGCUCGAAAGC